rnacentral:rRNA from 1 species
UACGGAGGGUGCGAGCGUUAAUCGGAAUUACUGGGCGUAAAGGGUGCGUAGGUGGUUGCAUAAGUUAACUGUGAAAUCCCCGGGCUCAACCCGGGAACUGCGUCCGAGACUGAAAGGCUUGAAUCCGGGAGAGGGAUGUGGAAUUCCAGGUGUAGCGGUGAAAUGCGUAGAUAUCUGGAGGAACAUCGGUGGCGAAGGCGGCAUCCUGGACCGGUAUUGACGCUGAGGCGCGAAAGUGUGGGGAGCGAACAGG